UUUAUUAUGCAGCAUCUCACUAUGUGACCCCGGUUAGUGUGGAACUCACUUAUGUCUUAAACCAGACUGGUCUCAAACUCACAGAGAUCCACUUGACUGUACCUUCCCUGUGCUAGGACUAAAGGCACACUUCACCACACCUGGAAAAAUAUAUUACUGUACAUGUCUCUAUAAGUUGCUUUCUAUGAGCAUAGACAUGACUGUCACUGGGGCUGUGCUGUAUUUUGUUUAGCAAUACUGUAUGCUUAAUACUCUAUUUUUCCUUAUUUAGUUUUCAUAACAGAGCAUGAAAAAGGUGACAGAUAAUUAAAGGAUAACCUGCCUCCCACCAAGUCCCAAGUGGAGUAUUGGGCUGAAGGUUAGGUCUACAGAGGACAGACCUAAAACCCAGGAGGCUAUGUGUGAACACAUGCACACUGAUACAGACACACACACACACACAGACAGACACAGCAGUACACACACAGGCAUACAGGCACAGGGCCUUCAAUAUGCUAAGAAAUAUGGUGCUACUGAGCGGCAUACAUUACCAGCACAAUGUUUGCUAAUCCAAUUUUAGUAAAUCUUUAAAACAGAAAAAGUCUAAAUGUAGAGGCAGGUGGAUUUCUGAGUUCGAGGCCAGCCUGGUCUACAGAGUUCCAGGACAGCCAGGGCUACACAGAAAAACCCUGUCUCAAAAAACAAAAAAAAAAAGUCUAAAUGUAUGAUGUCUUGGUUACUUUUCUAUUGCUGUGAAGAGACACUAUCUAUAAUCAAGAUAAUUUAUAGAAGAAAGAGUUUAUUGGGGCUCACCGUUCCAGAGGACUAGAGUCAUGGCCAUCAUGGUGGGAGGCAUGGCAGCAAUCAGGGCAAGCAUGACACUGGAGCAAAAGUUGAGAGCUUACACAGCGUUUAAACACAUGAAGCAGAGGGACUCCAGGGUGGGAGAAUGGGCUUGGGGGUGGGUUGGUGGGGGACACACAAGGAAUGGCAUGAUGGGCUUUUGAAAUCCCAAAGUUCACUCCCAGUGACCCACUUUCUCCAGUAAAACUACAGCUCCUCAUCUUUCAAAUAGUUCCAACAACUGGGGACCAAGUAUUCAAAUUCAUGAGCCUGUGGAGACCAAUCUCAUUCAACUCACUGUAGAUGAUUUUGGGGUCUACUAAUUGCUAGCUCUAACAGUGUGCCUGUUUUUACUCUCUCGUUAGGUUGGAUAACUACAAAUACUUAUUAAAUCUGAUCCUACAAUUUUAGUGGUAGAACUCACAAAACAUUUUAGCGUGUUCAAAUCUUUUGGGUUCUCUGAGAACUUAAGGGUGUGUACAAUCUUGGACCACAGCAUUAUUCAGUACUGGGAGUUCUGGGAGAGCUCAAUCAGUCGGGUGAGGUAGCUCCCCUCCUCACCUGUGUGGGUGUGUGCUGGAAGUCUCCGGAGGUCCGGAGAUCUGUAAGACUAAAGGGUCUCCAGCCGAAUACCCUUAAGCACAGUCAAUCCUCUGCAAACAACAAUCUCCUACAGGCAUAUUCUGCGGGCUCCUUGGUUCUCUAGAGUCUCUGGAGAAGUAGUCAUAGUCAUGCAAAUGAUUAGAUCAGCAGGGGCUCCAGCAGAAAGUGCUGUUGCAGGAUCUCUUGUGAGUCCCCACCCUUGCUUUGCUCCGCUGGACUUCAAAAAGAUCAGGUAGCUGGAAAAUGAGUAAAUUUGCAUAAACACUGGAAAACCAAACCAACCAAACAACAACAUAAAAACCCUUUUCCUAUGAUUCAAUAUAUUUCUAAAGGACCUAGACCAUCUUGACUGAGGGAUGAACAAACGGCCAGCAAGGACAUCAACUGUCCCAUGUAGAGUCACCUCCUGAUGCCCCCCACCCCCCAGGAACCCAAGGACGCACCUUUUCCAGCCCUCGUGCCGGACAAGGUGCUUUUGUUAGAAGUGUCUAGGCUGAAAGAGUUGCCCCAGGCAGAGCAUGCUCAAGUCCCGGCUUCAGUACACAGUACAGCAGAAAGACCCACCAAGACUGUCCUGUGAAACAGGCUGAGGCAGGAGGAUGGAGAGCUGGAGGCCAGCGUGGGCUACGUAAGACCCCACAUUAAACAAAAUAAAACAAAAGGAAAGACUAUAUCAAGUAGUUCCGGAAACUUUGGUAGAAUAUUCUUGACCUUUUAUUUUCCAUGUUCGAAUGUUGGUGUGUAUUUGUGUUUGUAUGUAUGUAAUUACACAUGUGGGAGUGUGCACGCAUGUGCAGAGCAUGUGGAGGUCUGAGGUUGGAAUCACCUUUGUCACUCUUCCAUCUUAGACAGUCACUACAUCUAACCCAGAGCUCACAGAGAUAGCUAAUUA
rnacentral:lncRNA from 1 species